rnacentral:rRNA from 1 species
GACGAACGCUGGCGGCGUGCUUAACACAUGCAAGUCGUACGGUAAGGCCCUUUCGGGGGUACACGAGUGGCGAACGGGUGAGUAACACGUGAGUAACCUGCCCACAACUUUGGGAUAACGCUAGGAAACUGGUGCUAAUACUGGAUAUGUGCUCCUGCUGCAUGGUGGGGGUUGGAAAGCUCCGGCGGUUGUGGAUGGACUCGCGGCCUAUCAGCUUGUUGGUGGGGUAGUGGCCUACCAAGGCGGCGACGGGUAGCCGGCCUGGGAGGGUGACCGGCCACAUUGGGACUGAGAUACGGCCCAGACGCCGACGGGAGGCAGCAGUGGGGAAUAUUGCACAAUGGGCGCAAGCCUGAUGCAGCAACGCCGCGUGUGGGAUGACGGCCUUCGGGUUGUAAACCGCUUUCAGCAGGGACGAAGCUUUUUGUGACGGUACCUGCAGAAGAAGCACCGGCUAACUACGUG